AACCUGGGAGGCAGAGGUUGCAGUGAGUCGAGAUUGUGCCGUUAUAAACUCCAGCCUGGGCAACAGAGCAAAAUUCUGUCUCAAAAAAAAUAAUAAAAUAGAGAUCCCAGAGACAGAUAUGCUUAUAUAGGCAGUUGGAUUCGAAUAUGUAUCUAAUAUAUGUCUGUUUAAAUAGAUGUAGUUGUUAAAAAAAAAAUCAAGUACAUUAUUACUCAGACAUAUCAGGUUAAUGAGAAGACCAUUCAGGCUUAUAAAUGUUGUAAUUGAUGAAGUAUUUUAGAAUUAUUUGGAUGCAUCUUUAGUCUACUUACUAAAGGUGUGGAGGAGUACACCUGUGCUUGUCCAUUAAUUGUCCAUGACACCAUUCUGUCAGAAUACAGGAUUAGAGUAAUUAUUCUGAGUGUAUUAUUUCUUCUUAUUUCAUAAAAGCCAUGUGCUGUACAGCAUUUAAUUCAUAUUUACAGAGAUAAAGUGAAUGAACUAAACGCUGCGCUUUUUUGUUUUAUUUGAGUAUUAGUCUUGUAUAUACUUUAUAUUAAAAUGCAUUUGUAGGGAGUAAUUAAUAUUUUGUGAGCAUCUACAGUAUGCAUAGUACCUGCUCUCGGGGUGUACAUUUCUGAGGGUAGAGACAAAUGCACCUACAAAUAACUAUGCCAUUAUAAUAAAGUUUUAAUGAAAUACUAAAAUGGGAAAUUGGAGGAUUUUGACUAUGGAGUUUGAGGUAGACUUUGUGUUCUUUCAUUCUGAAAACUGAGGGAAGGUCAUUUUAGACAAAGGAAAAGUAUUGAGCCAAGACAGGAAUAUCUGGAUUGCAUGAUUGUUACAGAGACUGAGUUGGCUCUGAAGUCAGACUGCUUGAGCUGAAUCUGGUUCCUCCUAUUACCUGCCAUGUGAUCUUGGGCAAACAGUUCUUGUUAAUUUUUUAAUCUAUAAAUUUAAGAUAAUAUUUUCUUUGCCUUACAGGAAAACUGCACAUAUAAGAGGAUAGUUUAAUGAAAUGUAAUAAACUGAGUAUACCUUUGUAACUUGCACUCAAAUUAUAAACAAAACAAGAUUAUCGGCAUCCCAAGAGGUUUUUACAUUCUCGAUUGUAUUGUUUUGAGGAUUCGGUAUUAUUUGUAAAGUGGACCUGGCAAUGGCUAACACCUGUAACCCUAGCACUUUGGUAGGCCUAGGUGGGAGGAUUGCUUAAUCCCAGGAGUUUGAGACCAGCAUGAACAGCAAAGUGAGACUCUGUCUCUAUUAUUAAUAAAAUAAAGAAGAAAAGAAAACAUUAUUUGUGAAGUGUUCAGAACAGUAUCUGGCAUAUAUUAUAUCCCUAUCAGUGUUAGCCAUUAUUCAGUAGAUGGCUGGUGAAUAUGGAUGAAACCAGAGAAGGUACACUCCCUGGCAUAUAUCAAGCAUUCAGUAGACAUGUUUUGAAUUACUUAAAGAAAAAUAAAGAAUACAACCGUGGUUGUCAGCUUUACAGAGGCUAGAUUAGGGAUUUAGUACAGUUAUCAAAUUAUCGGUAUAAUUUUAAUGACUAGCCUAUUUAGGAAAACUAGAAUUUGAUCACUUGGAGCUACAGAAAGAUUAGCAUAAAAUUUUGCUUAAAAUAAGUUUGUAGUCUAGUGGUCAUAUAGAUACUUAAGAGUUCUAGAGGUCAUAUGGGCUUAAAUUAUUGGGAAGCACUGUGUGAAAUCAAAUGAAAAUAACUUUUUUGAAUUUAUAUUUUAUUUCUGGGAAAAGCUAUAGUAUAAAAUAAACUAUUAGCAUGGUAGUAAGCACUAAAUGGGCAAGGCAUGUCUUUGACAAUAGAUUUGAAGAAAUACGCUUUUUUCAAUGGGGAAAACAAUAAAAAUGCUGUUUAAACAAUAACCAUGUAGAUGAAAGCAAAGAGUGCUGUGAUCUUUGAAAAUGGCUUCAUAGCUUCUCUUCCUCAAUCCUGCCCCUUAGCAAACCAUUUUAUACUGUAAGCGCAAUGGUCUCUGUGAAAUGUAAAUUUAAUGAUAACAUUCUUCUGUUUAAGUUACUAUCAGAAUAUCUGGUUCUCCUAGCUUUAUAUUUAGAAGUCUGUAAUGCUUCACCCACAUUUAUGAAAUUCACACACUUCCAAAAAUAUUUGGAGUAAGCUUGUAAAAGCUUGACAGUAAAAACUGAAUUGACAGAAGGUUAGUUUUUUUUCCCAUCUCACUCAGUGUGAAUAUUCAUACCUUUCCUUGAAGAAAUGUUAAUACAUUUGAGAAAUGAUGAAGGAUUUGUUUUUCUUGAAUAUAGAAAGUUACAGAGGUUGGGCAUGAUAGUUCAUGCCUGUAAUCCCAGCAUUUUGCAAGGCUGACGUAGGUGGAUUGCUUGAGCCCAGGAAUUCAAGACCUGCUAGACCGCAAGCAAUCUACCCACCUCUGCAAAAAUUAGCCUGUAAUCAUAGUAUAUGCCUGUGGUCCCAGCUACUUGAGAGGCUGAGGUAGGAGGAUCACCAGAGCCUGGGAUGGUCAAGGCUGCGUUGAGCCUUGAUUCAGCUACUACAUUUCAGCCUGGGUGACAGAGUGAAACCCGGUCU